rnacentral:rRNA from 1 species
UAGCUAGUUGGUAAGGUAACGGCUUACCAAGGCGACGAUACGUAGCCGACCUGAGAGGGUGAUCGGCCACACUGGAACUGAGACACGGUCCAGACUCCUACGGGAGGCAGCAGUAGGGAAUCUUCCGCAAUGGGCGAAAGCCUGACGGAGCAACGCCGCGUGAGUGAUGAAGGUCUUCGGAUCGUAAAACUCUGUUAUUAGGGAAGAACAUACRUGUAAGUAACUAUGCACGUCUUGACGGUACCUAAUCAGAAAGCCACGGCUAACUACGUGCCAGCAGCCGCGGUAAUACGUAGGUGGCAAGCGUUAUCCGGAAUUAUUGGGCGUAAAGCGCGCGUAGGCGGUUUUUUAAGUCUGAUGUGAAAGCCCACGGCUCAACCGUGGAGGGUCAUUGGAAACUGKAAAACUUGAGUGCAGAAGAGGAAAGUGGAAUUCCAUGUGUAGCGGUGAAAUGCGCAGAGAUAUGGAGGAACACCAGUGGCGAAGGCGACUUUCUGGUCUGUAACUGACGCUGAUGUGCGAAAGCGUGGGGAUCAAACAGGAUUAGAUACCCUGGUAGUCCACGCCGUAAACGAUGAGURCUAAGUGUUAGGGGGUUUCCGCCCCUUAGUGCUGC